rnacentral:rRNA from 1 species
GCUUGCUCCUUGAUUCAGCGGCGGACGGGUGAGUAAUGCCUAGGAAUCUGCCUGGUAGUGGGGGACAACGUUUCGAAAGGAACGCUAAUACCGCAUACGUCCUACGGGAGAAAGCAGGGGACCUUCGGGCCUUGCGCUAUCAGAUGAGCCUAGGUCGGAUUAGCUAGUUGGUGGGGUAAUGGCUCACCAAGGCGACGAUCCGUAACUGGUCUGAGAGGAUGAUCAGUCACACUGGAACUGAGACACGGUCCAGACUCCUACGGGAGGCAGCAGUGGGGAAUAUUGGACAAUGGGCGAAAGCCUGAUCCAGCCAUGCCGCGUGUGUGAAGAAGGUCUUCGGAUUGUAAAGCACUUUAAGUUGGGAGGAAGGGCAGUAAGUUAAUACCUUGCUGUUUUGACGUUACCGACAGAAUAAGCACCGGCUAACUCUGUGCCAGCAGCCGCGGUAAUACAGAGGGUGCAAGCGUUAAUCGGAAUUACUGGGCGUAAAGCGCGCGUAGGUGGUUUGUUAAGUUGGAAUGUGAAAGCCCCGGGCUCAACCUGGGAACUGCAUC